GUAAGGAAUAUUGGUCAAUGGGGGGAACCCUGAACCAGCCAUGCCGCGUGCAGGAAGACGGCCCUACGGGUUGUAAACUGCUUUUGUACGGGAAUAACCCGCCAUACGUGUAUGGCGCUGAAGGUACCGUAAGAAUAAGGAUCGGCUAACUCCGUGCCAGCAGCCGCGGUAAUACGGAGGAUCCGAGCGUUAUCCGGAAUUAUUGGGUUUAAAGGGUGCGUAGGCGGCAUGCUAAGUCAGGGGUGAAAUACGGUGGCUCAACCAUCGCAGUGCCUUUGAUACUGGCGUGCUUGAAUUUACCUGAGGUAGGCGGAAUGUGGCAAGUAGCGGUGAAAUGCAUAGAUAUGCCACAGAACACCGAUUGCGAAGGCAGCUUACCAAAGUAGGAUUGACGCUGAGGCACGAAAGCGUGGGGAUCGAACAGGAUUAGAUACCCCAGUAGUCC
rnacentral:rRNA from 1 species